rnacentral:rRNA from 1 species
UACAGAGGGUGCGAGCGUUAAUCGGAAUUACUGGGCGUAAAGGGUGCGUAGGUGGUUGCAUAAGUUAGGUGUGAAAGUCCUGGGCUUAACCUGGGGAUUGCGCCUAAGACUGUGUAGCUAGAGUAUUGUAGAGGAAGGUGGAAUUUCCAGUGUAGCGGUGAAAUGCGUAGAUAUUGGAAGGAACAUCGGUGGCGAAGGCGACCUUCUGGACAGAUACUGACACUGAGGCACGAGAGCAUGGGGAGCAAACAGG